AGAUUACCUCUCAGAGGAGAAGAGGUUUAAAGAAUCCCCUCUGUUUGACGGGGAUUUAAGAGAGCCGUUAACUACUGCAGACAGAGAAACACUUCAAGGAGCAGCUAAACCAGAUGCUCACUUUAGGACGAUGCCCUGCAGGCAGCUCCUGCACUUCCUGCAGAAGAACACCAUCAUUGCCGCAGUCUCAGGGGUGGCUGUCCUCACAGCUGCCGUGCUGUUGCUGCUCGGGUUGGCCUCAUACAUCAGGAGGAAACAGCCAUCAUCUCCUCUGGCAAAGACGACAUACAAUAUUUUUAUAAUGAAUGGAAAGGCAUGGUGGCAAAAUUCUGAAGAAAAGAAUUUCACAAAAUAUGCAAAAAAACAGACACAGUUGAAGUGCAGUUCCUGUGUCUAAGCCAGGUCGCGGGGCCGUCAAGCCAGCACUUGAAACCACGAUGCGAGGACGUUCUCCAUGUGCACACCACAGGGAAGCAAGUCCACUUCUGCCUGGGAGAUGCAUUCUACUAAAGCGUCUGCUUCCCGUCCCGAUCUCGAAUGGACCGAGAAAAACUGCUUUACUACAGGACACUUGUGGCAAAAUGGCACCGAUGGCCGGCACCAGCGAACCCGACGGACGAUGGACUUAUCAUCUAAUAAAGCGUUGAUUCAUGUAUUCAGU